rnacentral:rRNA from 1 species
GAUGAACGCUGGCGGCGUGCUUAACACAUGCAAGUCGAACGGAGAAAGGGUAGCUUGCUAUCUUUUCUUAGUGGCGAACGGGUGAGUAACGCGUUGGUGACCUGCCCCGAAGUGGGGGAUAACAGUUCGAAAGGACUGCUAAUACCCCAUGUGAUCUCUCGGUUUAGAUGCCGGUUGAUUAAAGGAUUUAUUCGCUUCGGGAGGGGCCUGCGUCCCAUCAGCUAGUUGGUAGGGUAAUGGCCUACCAAGGCUAUGACGGGUAGGGGGCCUGAGAGGGUGACCCCCCACACUGACACUGAAACACGGGUCAGACACCUACGGGUGGCAGCAGUAGGGAAUAUUGGUAAUCUGCGAAAGCGGGAACCAGCAACGCCGCGUGUGCGAUGAAGGCCUUCGGGUUGUAAAGCACUUUUUGAGGGGAUGAGGAAGGACAGUACCCUCAGAAUAAGCCUCGGCUAACUACGUG